rnacentral:rRNA from 1 species
GGACUACCGGGGUAUCUAAUCCCGUUCGCUACCCUAGCUUUCGUGCCUCAGCGUCAGAAGAGAUCCAGUGAGCCGCUUUCGCCACCGGUGUUCCUUAGGAUAUCAACGCAUUUCACCGCUCCACCCUAAGUUCCGCUCACCUCUAUCUCCCUCGAGCACAGCAGUUUUGGGCGCAGUUCCUCGGUUAAGCCGAGGGAUUUCACACCCAACUUGCUGCGCAGCCUACGCACCCUUUAAGCCCAGUGAUUCCGAAUAACGUUCGUACGGUUCGUCUUACCGCGGCUGCUGGCAC